rnacentral:rRNA from 1 species
UACGAAGGGUGCAAGCGUUAAUCGGAAUUACUGGGCGUAAAGCGUGCGUAGGCGGUUUGUUAAGUCUGUUGUGAAAUCCCCGGGCUCGACCUGGGAAUGGCAAUGGAUACUGGCAGGCUAGAGUGUGUCAGAGGAUGGUGGAAUUCCCGGUGUAGCGGUGAAAUGCGUAGAGAUCGGGAGGAACAUCAGUGGCGAAGGCGGCCAUCUGGGACAACACUGACGCUGAGGCACGAAAGCGUGGGGAGCAAACAGG